GUCAGGUGUGGUGUCGAAGGCCUGUGAUCCCAGCUACUGGGAGGCUGAGGCAGGAGGAUCACAAGUUUGAGGCCAGCCUCAGAUUUUGCAAAACCCUGUCUCAA
rnacentral:sRNA from 1 species